rnacentral:misc_RNA from 1 species
AUGUUACAAAACCAACAACAUUUGAAAAUAUCAGUCGAUGGUUGAAGGAGCUAAGGGACCAUGCGGAUGCGAACAUCGUGAUCAUGCUAAUUGGCAACAAGACUGAUCUGAAACAUCUCAGAGCAGUGGCCACCGAGGAUGCUCAAAGUUACGCAGAGAGAGAAGGACUUUCAUUCAUUGAAACAUCUGCUCUUGAAGCAACAAA